rnacentral:rRNA from 1 species
AUGAACGCUGGCGGCGUGCCUAACACAUGCAAGUCGAACGGAGUUAUGAUGUGAGCGGGAAGUGCUUGCACUAAACAAUCUUUUCAUAACUUAGUGGCGGACGGGUGAGUAACGCGUGGGUAACCUGCCCUGUACAGGGGGAUAGCAGCUGGAAACGGCUGGUAAUACCGCAUAAGCGCACGGUAUCGCAUGAUACAGUGUGAAAAACUCCGGUGGUAUGAGAUGGACCCGCGUCUGAUUAGCUGGUUGGUGAGGUAACGGCCCACCAAGGCGACGAUCAGUAGCCGGCCUGAGAGGGUGAACGGCCACAUUGGGACUGAGACACGGCCCAAACUCCUACGGGAGGCAGCAGUGGGGAAUAUUGCACAAUGGGGGAAACCCUGAUGCAGCGACGCCGCGUGAGUGAUGAAGUAUUUCGGUAUGUAAAACUCUAUCAGCAGGGAAGAUAAUGACGGUACCUGACUAAGAAGCACCGGCUAAAUACGUG